rnacentral:rRNA from 1 species
UGCAGAGGUCUCAAGCGUUGUUCGGAUUCAUUGGGCGUAAAGGGUGCGUAGGCGGCGCGGUAAGUCGGGUGUGAAAUCUCGGGGCUUAACUCCGAAACUGCAUUCGAUACUGCCGUGCUUGAGGACUGGAGAGGAGACUGGAAUUUACGGUGCAGCGGUGAAAUGCGUAGAUAUCGUAAGGAAGACCAGUGGCGAAGGCGGGUCUCUGGACAGUUCCUGACGCUGAGGCACGAAGGCCAGGGGAGCAAACGGG